UACGAAGGGGGCUAGCGUUGCUCGGAAUCACUGGGCGUAAAGCGCACGUAGGCGGAUCGUUAAGUCAGGGGUGAAAUCCUGGAGCUCAACUCCAGAACUGCCUUUGAUACUGAGGAGCUUGAGUCCGGGAGAGGUGAGUGGAACUGCGAGUGUAGAGGUGAAAUUCGUAGAUAUUCGCAAGAACACCAGUGGCGAAGGCGGCUCACUGGCCCGAUACUGACGCUGAGGCACGAAAGCGUGGGGAGCAAACAGGG
rnacentral:rRNA from 1 species